UUAGGGGAGAGAAGCAAAGGCAGCCUUUGACUGCUUUGGUCUCGGCCUGCCUGUAGCCCAGCUUAGCUAGGGAGUGUCCACACAGCCUAACCUUGAGCAGGAGAGCUCUGCCUCAGGGUGCGGGAUCAAAGCUCUAGUUUGUAUGAAAGUGUCACGUUGUCUUGCUCUCUCCUCUGAGUACAAGGCUCCACAAAGACCUCACAAGCAAGGCAGCUACAAUUAGUUGGGGGUAAGAUUCAAGUGUUUACAGGUCCUGAGUCAACACAGCAUCUUAAAACCAUAUCUCAUCCAGCUCUGUGAACAGCUCAUGCGGCACAUGCUCUUCAUCCUCCUCGGUGCCAAGAAUGAACUGAACACGCUGAGAUGGUGUGUCUGGAAAAUCAACCACAGAGAAAGGUCUGCUCCUCGCCUCAAAACAGAAGUAGCAAGCUGCCAUACUUAGCACACCUGGGGGCCUUGCAACUUCAAGAACAAGCAGAAGAGAAUCCUUGACAUAGAUUAAAAAAAAAAAAAAGCCUUUAUUUUCAGAAAAAAAAAAAAAAGCUGUUCUGUGGAAGCAGUUUCAUGACUGCUUGAAGAAAAUCCACAAGAAACUAGAAAUUUGAUUAAUUUGAUCAAAAGACACUUUUUAUUCUUACAGGCAUUCCUUCUUGGAAACAAGCUUUUAAAACCCCUACAGAAAGACUAGAGAAGCCAGACCACCUGCUUAAUGCCCAUCGCGAGUCCCUCAGCCUCACCAAGCCUGUGAGCCAUGGACACCAACCCUCCCCGCCAGGUGUGUUACCGUGGGCCAGGGCUUCAGGGCCCUCCUCCCCCUGGCUGGCUCCUUUGCCCCGACCUCGUCUCCUGUGCUUCUGACCAUGGGUUCGGUGGUGCCGAUGGCUCUGUCGGCCCAGUGGCAUCCGAACCCCCACGUACAGAGUUCUAUGACCUAGAAGAAGCAGAAAAUCCAUGGAAAGAAAGCCUUCUCCAAAAGGAGUUUAGCAAAUCUAAAAUACAGGGGAAAGACUACAGUUCUUUGGAGUCAUAACCCUAAUAACAAAAUUUCAAGACUGAAAAUGUAGAGCUGUUACAGUUGAAGGUCUUGGUCCUGCAUGCGACUGCAAACCUUACGGGAAUAUUGUUAAAAUUAAAGGAAAUAAUGUGUGUGAAUAUGGUUUGUAAACUAUAAAGGUCAAUAGAGAUGUUGGUUGU